CGAUUGAAUGGCUCAGUGAGGCUUUCGGACUGGCCCAGAGAGGUCGGCAACGACCACUCAGGGCCGGAAAGUUAUCCAAACUCGGUCAUUUAGAGGAAGUAAAAGUCGUAACAAGGUCUCCGUUGGUGAACCAGCGGAGGGAUCAUUA
rnacentral:rRNA from 1 species